rnacentral:lncRNA from 1 species
CACAUUUUUCACAAAUACAUUAUCUAGUUUUUCAUUAUUUAUUUUCGUUAUUAUUAUUUAUUAUUAUUAUUAUUAUUUAUUAUCAUUAUUUAUAUAUUAUUAAAAUAACAACCCAAAUUACAAUUACUUUGCCAAUUAAUUUAUCUUGUAGUCCAAUUUUUAUCUAAGUCACUAUAAUUUUAGUCCAUUCUAUCCAAUUUAUUACAAAUCUAGCCAAUUUUAAUUCAGCUCGUGUCAAUUUGAGUCACAAAUAUAUCAAAAUUGAAGAGUUACCCCCAUUUUUAAUCCCAGUCGUUGAUCAAAAUUGAUCAAACGGUAGAGAUGAUUUCGACCAUCCAUUUCCUUUUAAGAAUCUAAUACCCAGACCCUAGUCAUUUUUUGAAACUUCCGCCUCCAACACUCUCUCUCUAUCUCCCCUCUCCCUCUCUCUCCACAAAACCCCUCCAAAUCUCGAUCUCCCCCCUUCCUCCGAUCUAUCCGCGCUCCUCCAACCACCAUGACGCCGUCAACAGCCCUCUCCCGACGUCUCCAUCACCGGCGAGAGACCGAACCAGCAACGCCAGCCAUGGCGCCGCCGCUGCUCUCCUCUUUCCGCCACCAUCAACCCCAGCGCCAAGCCAAGUCCUGUCGUGCCUCCGGCGCCCAACGACGAUAACCACACCGAUGAACAGCGCGACCAGCCUCCUUCGCCCCCUCCUUCUCCGGCGAAGACCCUCCGUUCUCCCUUCCCUCCUCUCGCCGCCGCAGAGCCAUGCCACUUGCGCCAUCACCUGCUUUGACCGAACCCCACGAGGGUGUCAAGGGUUCGAUUCCAAUGCUUUACAUAUCAAUUGCAUGAUGAAUUUGUCUCCGGUAAGGUUGUUCUCGGAUCUACUUUACUUGUUUCGGAAUAUGAAAUAUGUGGGUUAACUUGGAUCUGAGUUUCUCAAUUUUGAAUGUUCCGAUUUCAUGCCUGGCUAACGUUACUUUCUGAACUGGGCACUGAAUGACUUACUUGUUAUUCAUCCAUGAAAUGAAUACAAAUUCUUCAUUUGUUUGUGAUGUUAUGUAUUGGUAGAGUGAUUUAUAAAUGUGUAGCUAGAACAUCUCAACGGAAUCACAUUCCACCUCAUUUCAUAUGCUCCUAUUCUUUAUUCUGGCCAACAAGAAUAAGACAUUUUAUUUGAUUGAAAAUUCAACAACUUCAAGAACCCUGCUUUAUUUGAUUAGUUAGUUUUGUCAUGUAGUAAUAGGUGGCCUGAUGAGGUGGUCUUCUUCAUAAAAGCUUAAUCAAUUCAAUUACAGAAUAUUAGAUAGUUAAGAUAUAAAUGAUUUAGUGAGUAGUUGGGAAUAUUCUAUAUAUGGUUUAAAUUCAAAAUGCACGACUGGACUUUAUUUUAUGAAACUGUGCAAGUAUGGAAGUAUUUUUUAUAAAAAAAAUUAUACUCUUCAAUUUUGGUGACUUAGUAACUUAAAAAUAGUUAAGCGUAGGGACUUGAAAUGUGAAUUAAUUAUUUAAAAAUGGUUAAGUAUAGUGACUUGAAAUGUGAACUAGUUAUUUGAAAAUGGUUAAGUGUAGUGACUUGAAAUGUCUACUAGUUAUUUGAAAGUGGUUAAGUAUAGUGACUUGAAAUGUGCACUAGUGACUUGAAAAUAGUUAAGUAUAGUGACUUGAAAUGUGUACUAGUGAAUGAGUUAUUUGAAAAUUAUUAGUUGUAAUGACUUUAAAAUGAUUAAGUGUAGUUACUUGAAAUUAUGAAUUUGUGAUUUGAAAACGGUUAAGUAUAUUUACUUGAAAUUGUGAACUUGAUGCUUGAAAAUGGUUAAGUGUAGUCAAUUGAAAUUGUUCUAAUAACUUUAAAAUAAUAAAGUGCAGUUACUUGAAAAUGAUUUUGAAAAUGAUUAAGUACAUUGACUUGAAAAGUGAUUUAGUUAAAUGAAAAUAGUUAAGUGUAGUGAUUUGAAAUGUGUACUAAUGACUUGAAAAUAUGUUAAGCGUGGUAACUUGCAAUGUGAAUAAGUCAUUUGAAAAUGGUCAAGUAUAGUAGCUUAAACGUGUAGUAGUGACUUGAAAAUGGUUGUGUAAUAACUUGAAAUGUCUACUAGUUAUUUGAAAAUGGUUAAUUAUAGUGAAAUAAAGUGUCAAUUAGAUAUUUCAAAAUGAAGAUUCAAAAAAAAAAUGUCAAUUAGAUAUUUGAAAAUGGUUUUGAGUGUAGUAUCUUAAAAUGUGUGCUAGUAACUUGAAAAUAUUAAUUGUGGUCGCAUGACAUAUGAACUAAUGACUUGAUUUUUAUAUGUUUUGAUGUAAACUUGCAUACAGAUGACAUCCGCUGGUGACGUUGAUUGACCUCGUCCUUAUAAGAGUUCAAAGUCAACUGCUAAAAAGAAAUCUCGGACAUCUGUAGACUCCAAUGAAAAAACUUUAGGAUUGUUUAAUAUUUUGGUGGUUGUUGGAGUAAUUAUUAAGUGUCUUGUAUUUUGGAUUUGGUUGUUUAAAGAGUGUUGAUUUGAAUUACUUAAAUGUUUUGAUAAUAUAGUGCCUUGUAUGGUUAUUUUAGAAAUGUGUGUUGUAUGGUUAUUUUAAAAAUGUGUGUUGCUUGAGGCUAUAUAUUAAUUAUUAAGUGCCUUGUAUGGUUAUUUUAGAAAUGUGUGUUGCAUUUUUGCAUCCAAAAAAAUGCAAAAAAGCGACGGACAAUGGUCCUUUUUGUUCGUCGCUUUUUUGAAUUUUUUAAAAAUAAGUUUUAAAUAACCUACGGCCAACGUCGCUUUUUUCUUCAUUAUGAAGAACAAAAAACGACGGCCAACGUCGCUUUUUUCUUCAUUAUGAAGAACAAAAGCUUUUUGUCUUCAUAAUAAAUUUUUUUCCCUCAAAAUACAACGGACAAUGUCGUUUUUUUUGAUUUAUUUUUAAAUUUUUUCCUUCAAUAAAGCGACGCUAUGCGUCGUUUUUUUCAAAAAAAUAACUAAAUUUUUUUCCCCCUAAAAGCUACGCUGAUCGUCGUUUUCAAAAAACCAACGCCCCUUUUUGAGACGGAAAAAAAGCAACGGCUUUUUGUCACUUUUGCCCCAAAAAACGACGCUGGCUGUCGCUUUUGGGCGUUGCUUUUUGACAGUUUUUUAGUAGUGAAUAUUUAUAUUCUUGGAAUAGUAGGGAUCAAUUUGAAAAAAAAUUAAUGUCUUGAUAUUUCAAGGGACAAAUAAGAAAGUUAACUAAUAGAGAAGAUCAGAGAACAUAAUAACUCAAGUAAAAAUAUAAUUUGUUAUAAUUUAUGCAUUAAGCUGUAUAGCAGUAUACAAAUAGCAUUUUUGUAAGGUAUUUUUAUUUUAUAUCAAGAAACUUGCAAAAAAAAAAGUGAAGAAAGAGAUAUUUUUAAGUUAAAAACCUUUUACCCUUGAUGAUGAGUAUAAUUAUAAGUUUGCCCUUAGUCGUCCGCAACUCUCCUUUCUAUAUAGUAGAAAUAUGUCAUUCUGUUAAUCUAUCGGCUCAUAGAAACAUUAGCGUUAUAUUUUCAUCUUAAAAAUAUUUUUAAAAAGUUCAUAUAUACACUUAAUAUUAAAGAUUGAAGUUAUAUAAGCGUAUAUUGAGAACUUUUUAAAUUAUUUAGAGGUAUAUUUGAACCUUUUCAAUUGAUAUACUUCUUUCGUCUCAAUUUAUGUGAUACAAUUGAAAUUUUGUGAGUCAAUCAAUUUUUUUUAUAUGUCUUCGAAAUAUUUUUAAUUGUUAAUUAUUAUAAUUUAUAAUAUUUUUUACGUAAUUUUCAAAUAUAUAAAAUUUAUUUCAAGCAAACUUGAAGCUUUUCUGACCAAAUUCAUGAUUAAAUUUUAGAAAGUUGAAUCCAGAUAUUCCUACUACAGUAACUUUUUGACACCAAAAUAAUACUCCAAUAUUAAUGGAUUAUUAGCAUAGAAUAAAUUGAACUAAAAUUUAUAUAUAUACACAAGGUAAUUUUCCCUUGUUACAAUAAAUUCCAUAUUGAUAAAGUAAUUACAUAAAUUCUAAAUUAAUUAUUUAAAUCUCCUAAUUUUUUACUUUCUUUCUCCUUACUCUUAUACACCCAAAAAGGCCACCUCUUGCUCCCUUUUUUCUCUCCCAUUACAAAUCAGUUUUAUCCUCCAUUAUCAAAUCUCUUUUUUCACGCCCAGAAUCAAACAAUCGUGUACUUAGAGGUUACCAAUUUGUAAGUUUUCAAACAUUAAUUGAACUUAAUGAUUUUCUUCAUUAAUUUUGUAUUCUUUUUUUUUUUUUUUUAACUUUAUCAAAUCAGAAAUUUUUUUGAUGUUUUUUUGUUUCAAAG